UACGUAGGGUGCGAGCGUUAAUCGGAAUUACUGGGCGUAAAGCGUGCGCAGGCGGUUUUGUAAGACAGACGUGAAAUCCCCGGGCUUAACCUGGGAACUGCGUUUGUGACUGCAAGACUAGAGUGUAGCAGAGGGGGGUAGAAUUCCACGUGUAGCAGUGAAAUGCGUAGAUAUGUGGAGGAAUACCGAUGGCGAAGGCAGCCCCCUGGGCUAACACUGACGCUCAUGCACGAAAGCGUGGGGAGCAAACAGG
rnacentral:rRNA from 1 species